rnacentral:tRNA from 1 species
CCCUGGGUGGCAAAAACAGUUAAUGUACUCAGCUGCUAACUGAAAGGUUGGAGGUUCGAGUCUUCCCAGAGGUG